GACCGUGCAAAGGUAGCGUAAUCACCUGUCUUUUAAAUAAAGACCUGUAUGAAUGGCAAGACGAGGGUUUUACUGUCUCCUCCCCCCAGUCAAUGAAAUUGAUCUACCCGUGCAGAAGCGGGUAUAAAAACAUAAGACGAGAAGACCCUAUGGAGCUUUAGGCAUAUAUCAAAUAUGUAAAAAACCAAAUUUUUCCAAAUAGGCCUAAAAAAUGAGAAAAACAAGUAUUAAUGAUUAAGUGCCUUCGGUUGGGGCGACCACGGGGAAAAAUAAAACCCCCACAUGGAAUGGGAAAAAUAACCCUAAGCCAAGAAAAACACUUCUAAGCAACAAAAUUUUUGACCAAUAAACGACCCAGGGACACCAUCCCUGAGCAAUGAACCAAGUUACCCUAGGGAUAACAGCGCAAUCCUUUCCCAGAGCCCAUAUCAACGAAAGGGUUUACGACCUCGAUGUUGGAUCAGGGCAUCCUAACGGUGCAGCCGCU
rnacentral:rRNA from 1 species